rnacentral:rRNA from 1 species
UACGGAGGGUGCAAGCGUUAAUCGGAAUUACUGGGCGUAAAGCGCCCGCAGGCGGUUUGCUAAGUCAGAUGUGAAAUCCCCGGGCUCAACCUGGGAACUGCAUCUGAUACUGGCACGCUUGAGUAUAGUAGAGGGGGGUAGAAUUCCAGGUGUAGCGGUGAAAUGCGUAGAUAUCUGGAGGAAUACCGGUGGCGAAGGCGGCCCCCUGGACCAAGACUGACGCUCAGGGGCGAAAGCGUGGGGAGCAAACAGG